rnacentral:rRNA from 1 species
UACGAGGGGGGCGAGCGUUGUUCGGAAUUAUUGGGCGUAAAGGGUGCGUAGGCGGUUUGGUAAGUCUGAUGUGAAAUCUAUGGGCUCAACCUGGGGAUGUCAGCUGUGACUGUUAGACUAGAGUAUAGCAGAGGGUAGUGGAAUUUCCGGUGUAGCGGUGAAAUGCGUAGAUAUCGGAAGGAACACCAGUGGCGAAGGCGGCUACCUGGGCGAAUACUGACACUGAGGCACGAAAGCGUGGGGAGCAAACAGG